GCUAGGCAUGGUGGUGUAUGCCUGUAAUCCCAGCAGCUCGGGAGGCUGAGGCAGGAGAUCGUGAGUUCACAGCCAGCCUCAGCAACUAAGCAACUCAGUGAGACCCUGUCUCUA
rnacentral:sRNA from 1 species